rnacentral:rRNA from 1 species
AUUGAACGCUGGCGGCAGGCCUAACACAUGCAAGUCGAGCGGCAGCGGAAAGUAGCUUGCUACUUUGCCGGCGAGCGGCGGACGGGUGAGUAAUGUCUGGGAAACUGCCUGAUGGAGGGGGAUAACUACUGGAAACGGUAGCUAAUACCGCAUAACGUCGCAAGAACAAAGAGGGGGACCUUCUGGCCUCUUGCCAGCAGAUGUGCCCAGAUGGGAUUAGCUAGUAGGUGGGGUAACGGCUCACCUAGGCGACGAUCCCUAGCUGGUCUGAGAGGAUGACCAGCCACACUGGAACUGAGACACGGUCCAGACUCCUACGGGAGGCAGCAGUGGGGAAUAUUGCACAAUGGGCGCAAGCCUGAUGCAGCCAUGCCGCGUGUAUGAAGAAGGCCUUCGGGUUGUAAAGUACUUUCAGCGGGGAGGAAGGUGUUGAGGUUAAUAACCUCAGCAAUUGACGUUACCCGCAGAAGAAGCACCGGCUAACUCCGUGCCAGCAGCCGCCGUAA